rnacentral:rRNA from 1 species
UACGAAGGGGGCUAGCGUUGUUCGGAAUUACUGGGCGUAAAGCGCACGUAGGCGGAUAUUUAAGUCAGGGGGUGAAAUCCCAGAGCUCAACUCUGGAACUGCCUUUGAUACUGGGUAUCUCGAGUAUGGAAGAGGUAAGUGGAAUUCCGAGUGUAGAGGUGAAAUUCGUAGAUAUUCGGGAGGAACACCAGUGGCGAAGGGCGGCUUACUGGGUCCAUUACUGACGCUGGAGGGUGCGAAAGCGUGGGGGAGCAAAACAGG